ensembl:lncRNA
AUGAUUGCACAGCCAUUAAGGAUCAAAUCAGUUUCUGAAAAAUGUUCUGUUUUUUCUCCCUCUGCUUGCUUCUUACUGUCUUUGAGGCUCGGGACCAGCACUCCUGCUGUUGGACAGAAAGACAUCAACUUGAGAUAUGACUGCACUAUGGUGUUGCUGAUCACUCCAGUUAAUUCUACAAGACAUGCUGUGACACCAGGAGAGAUGAGUCCUCCGUCACAGAUGGUGUGGUCAGUGAAGAUGGUCGCCUGCAGGUUCAAGCUCAUUGCAUCUCCAACCCACAUCCACUGCCACUGUACUUAAGGGAAGUUAAAGACUUUCUUCUGCACCUACAUUUGGAUCACCUCGAUCCAUGACAGUCAUUCAGGCAGUGAUGCCUGGACUGGAAACAAGCAUCCUUAAAAUAUUACAACAUUCCAGCUCCUGUGUUGGAAUGGAAAACAAAUGUGUUGUUUAAAUUAGAGACUGCACUUGUGACAGAACAAUAAAUAUUUUAUUUUGAUUAUAUAAGUAAGUACAAAACAAACUUGUGGUAGGCCUAAACUUAUUUUCAGAAUAAUUACAUCUGAGACUUUGUUUCAUUGUAAGAUUAUAACAGUGAUGGCAAUAUAAUUGUUUGUUGUUCAGCAGAACAGUGUCCAGUAUGUUGGCUGUUAUACUUUGUUGUGUUUGAAAAUAAAAGUUGGGCUCAUUUUAACAUCAUUACAAAAAGUGUUGUUAAUUAUUUUUAAUCAUAUUCAGGUUACCACAAAUUGUUUUUUCAUUUAGUUGAACUUAACAUGUUUGUCAGUAGGUAAACAAUUAGUAUUGUACAGUCAGAGUUAUCAAGUUAUUGUUAAUACUGCAGACUUGCAAUGUAUAAGUUGUCCUAACAGUCGUCUUAAGUAAGCUUUACUUAGUUUUUUUGAGGCAACGAGUUUCCAUAAUUUUUUUGAGUUCUGGGAACUAACAAGGCUGUACAGUGUACUCAAAAUGAGUAAGUUGCCCUAACUUGGUCAUCUUACGUAAACUUGAUCCAAUUUUUUUGAGUUCUGGGAACAAAUGAGCUUGUACAGAGUACUCAAAAUAAAUAAGUUGUCCUAACUUAGUCAUUUUUAGCUAAGCUUUACUCAAUUUUUUUGAGGCAACGAGUUUCCAUAAUUUUUUUGAGUUCUGGGAACUAAUUAGAUUUUACAGUGUUGGAAAACAAAAUGAACACCUGAAAAAAUGCUGAACAUGCUAAGGGUCCCUCAAAUGUAAUUGUUAAAUGAAAAAGAAAUCGGCAAAAAAAAGUACAACAGUCACACAAUCACAAAUAUGGAGACAUAUGGAAACACACAAGCACAGAGAGACACACACAGGAUCAAAUUCAGUCAACCAGUCUAAAUAUAUUGAAUUUAAAUCAUACAAUAAGAUGCUCCCAUAAAAACUCUCUCUCGUCCUCCCUUUCUCUCUCUCUCUGUCACACACACACACACACACACACACACACACACACACACACACACAGGGAGAGACAAGCAAGUUUCUAGGUCAGCCAAACAGCCUGGGAGCUGCUGAAUUUGAAUCCACCAAUCAGAGAGGCUGUGUACUUUUUCCCGCCAAAACAGGUGCACCUGUUUUUACACACAUGCAGCACAGAGACAGGAUUUGUGCUGUCUAUUUUUCAUAGUGAGGAUUCCCCUCAAACAAAUGGCUAUAAUUUCCUAACCGUAGGGGCUAGAACAGUCAUUCUUACACCGUUUUGUUCAGAAGAGAUGGGGGAAUCUUAAGGUGUUGACAGUUUAUCUUGAAAAUAUGAAUUAUUGAAGAUAUUUGACUUCUAAUGCACCAUAACUGAGUAGAGGCAAAGCGAAAACUGUCUUGACUUGCCCUCAAAUAAUGCUUUCUAACUCUAAAUCUAUUUGGAGUAUCGAUAUCAUUCUUUCACCGUAAGAGACAGCAGGCUUUGGUGAACAGUCAUGGAAAUUUUCAGGUCUGUGUGGAAAUCCAUCAAAAAGAUAUGACGAGAGAAAAAAGUGGUUCAUUUCCAGAGUUUGAAAGCUGAAGAAAUCUGAGCGAGGGACGAAUUUCCUACCCUCAAACAAACCCAAUUCAUGGCCAAAUGGUAAUAGGUGAGAAAGAAAUUCUUGAAUUGUGAGCGUCAGGAGUGUCUGAAGAUAUAUUGGCACAAGCCUCAUGUCUUAACUUCGCUGCGUUAAGGAGAUAUGAUGAUUUGAAAAUGCCUCUCAUUAGAGAAAUCCAGCGGUGAUUGUGAACAAGCUCUCCAUUGACUUUCUAUGGAGAGUUUCCAGACUUUGUGUUGGUCUGAGGAGAUUUGCCAAAAUUCUAUUAUACAGAAAUACUGUAAUCAGCACAUAUACUGUAACAUGACAGAAAUUCCUCCACUUAGUAGUAAUACUAUAACAUAACACAAAUAUUAUGAUUUGGCACAAAAACCAUGAUUUGGCAAAAUACUAUGAUUGAGCAGAAGUACUAAGAUGUAGUAAAAGUACUUUGAUUUAACAGAAAUACAAUUAUAGAGGAGUAAUACUUUAAAAUGGGAGAAAUAUUGAUACACACACACAUACACAGAGCCUAAAGGGAACAGUAUUUGUGCCAUGGAGUGUUAACAAGGAUCUGAGGUCAAUAUUAGAAAAGCUGCUAAAAUCAUAAAAGUUUGCAGAAUUGUAAUAAAUGAUCAAUAUGAAUUAGUGGUCUGUGAUAGUGUAAUAAUUUGUAGGGAAAAAACACAUGUUGCCCAAGGUGUAAUUGAACCCACGACCUUUGGGUUGCAGACCUGUGUCAUUACCAACUGCGCCACUGGGAAAGACAGCGAGCGCCUGGAAAACAGGGUGAUGAGCAGUCAGAAUUAGAUUGUGGUGAGAGGUGAAAAACGCCGUUUUUUGGAGUUACAAAACAUCAUGUAACUCAAAAACUAGGUGGACUAGAAGCAUAAUUCUUGUACUGGGUGAAUCAGCGUACUUUGGUGUACUUUGACUGUGAUUUGCAUUGCUCUUUCUACAUCUGUCGCUGAGAUAUGACGAGAGAAGAAACGGCAGACCUCAGAUAUGAUUGGCUGGCUGGGAAGCCGUGCAGGCCCUGAUAUGUAUUUGUAUGUAUCAGUCCUCACAGAGGAUUAGCUGCCUGGGGACCUGGCAGAAAUAUAUAGAAAUAGUAUGAUUAAGCAUAAAUACUACAUUUUUUAGAGAAACUAUAUUAAGCACAAAUCCUAUAAAAAGCAGAAAUACUAUAUUAAGCAAUAUAAAUAUCCUCUGAAAAUCCUAUAAAAAAGCAGUAAAACUAUACUAUGAUUUGGUAGAAAAACCCUAAUUAAUCAAAAAUACUAUAUUUGGCAGAAAUAGCAGAAACACUAUAUUUAGCACAAAUCUUAUGAAAUAGCAGACAUAGUAUGAUUUAGCAGAAAUGCUGUAUUUAGCACAAAUCUCAUAAAAUAGCAGACAUAGUAUGAUUUUGCAGAAAUGCUGUAUUUAGCACAAAUACUGAAAAGCAGCAGAAAUGCUAUGACUCAACAGAAUAGUAAUAACUUAAAUAGAAAAAUUGGAAAAGCAAAAUGGACAGCUGAAAAAAUCCUGAACAUGCUAAGGGUCCCUCAAAUGUAAUUGUUAAAUGAAAAAAAUCAGCAAAAAAACUAUAACAGUGACACAAUCACAAAUAUGUACACAUAUGGAAACACACAUGCACAGAGAGACACACACAGGAUCAAAUUCAGUCAACCAGUCUAAAUAUAUUGAAUUUAAAUCAUACAAUAAGAUGCUCCCAUAAAAACUCUCUCUCGCCCUCUCUUUCUCUCUCUCUCUGUCACACACACACACACACACACACACAGGGAGAGAAAAUCAAGUUUCUAGGUCAGUCAAACAGCCUGUGAGCUGCUAAAUUUGAAUCCACCAAUCAGAGAGGCUGUGUACUUUUUCCCGCCAAAACAGGUGCACCUGUUUCUACACAGACGCAGCACAGAGAGAGACAGGAUUUGUGCUGUCUACUUUUCAUAGUCAGGAUUCCCCUCAAACAAAUGGCUAUAAUUUCCUAACCGUAGGGGUUAGAACAGUCAUUCUUACACCGUUUUGUUCAGAAGAGAUGGGGGAAUCUUACAGUGUUGACAAUUUAUCAUUAAAACAUGAAUUAUUAAAGAUAUUUGACUUGUAAUGCACCAUAACUGAGUAGAGGCGAAGCAAAAACUGCCUUGACCUGCCCUCAAACAAAGUUUUCUAACUCUAAAUCUAUUUGGAGUAUCGAUAUCAUUCUUUCACCGUAAGAGACAGCAGGCUUUGGUGAACAGUCAUGGAAAUUUUCAGGUCUCUGUGGAAAUCCAUCAAAAAGAUAUGACGAGGGGGCGUGGUUAUGUUGCUGAACUAGGCACACGUAUUUUUGUGAGCUCCUGGCGAUGUUUCAGUAAGUUCCUGAAAACUGUCCUUUAACUGCGUGAACAGUGAUAACUACUGCUUGU